rnacentral:rRNA from 1 species
CAUGUGGUUUAAUGCGAAGCAACGCGAAGAACCUUACCAGGUCUUGACAUCCUUUGACCACUCUAGAGAUAGAGCUUCCCCUUCGGGGGCAAAGUGACAGGUGGUGCAUGGUUGUCGUCAGCUCGUGUCGUGAGAUGUUGGGUUAAGUCCCGCAACGAGCGCAACCCUUAUUGUUAGUUGCCAUCAUUCAGUUGGGCACUCUAGCAAGACUGCCGGUGACAAACCGGAGGAAGGUGGGGAUGACGUCAAAUCAUCAUGCCCCUUAUGACCUGGGCUACACACGUGCUACAAUGGGAAGUACAACGAGUUGCGAAGUCGCGAGGCUAAGCUAAUCUCUUAAAGCUUCUCUCAGUUCGGAUUGCAGGCUGCAACUCGCCUGCAUGAAGCCGGAAUCGCUAGUAAUCGCGGAUCAGCACGCCGCGGUGAAUACGUUCCCGGGCCUUGUACACACCGCCCGUCACACCACGAGAGUUUGUAACACCCGAAGUCGGUGAGGUAACCUUUUUGGAGCCAGCCGCCUAAGGUGGGAUAGAUGAUUGGGGUGAAGUCGUAACAAGGUAGCCGUAUCGGAAGGUGCGGCUGGAUCACCUCCUUUCUAAGGAA